GCCGCCACCUCUGCCCCAGCGAGGACUACUCCUGCCUCGACCUCGCCGACGGCUACCACGCCGAGAUCGAAACCAGCUGUCACAGAUAUUUCUAUUGUCAAGGAGGUGAUCGACUGGCAACUCUAUCGUGCCUCGGAGGAAAAAUCUUCGACGGUCAUGCGUGCGUCGAGCCCUCGCGCCACGAAUGCGGGGGCCAAAGGACGGACAUUAUCGAAAAUAGUGACACAAAAUGCGAACAAGGUUUUUUCCUGCAACCGGGAACCGAGUGUAAAAGUUACUAUUUCUGUGUGUUGGGCUCUAGAACUUAUUUAAGUUGCCCAACAGACCAAGUGUUUAAUGGACAAGUGUGUGUACCCAAAAGUCAAUAUACCUGCCCGGGCUGAAAGUGCCCCGUUAACCCUUUGACCGCUAUUGCUGCCCACGACUGGUGGAACUGGGCCCGUGGAAGGAAUCGCUAUUAAAUGAUGUACCUGAUACCAAAAGGCUGUGAAUAUCACUGACAUAUCAGCAGCACUAGUUUUUUAACCCUAUCGCUUAAGACAGUGUAGUGUUAAUUUGUUAAGUUUUCUCUAUCUACCUCCAUAAUGAUAUUACGAGUUUUAAAUAAAGCACAUUAAUAAUAAUUAAAAUAAAUUGUAUUUAUAUGUAGCUUGUAGUUUUUAAUAAAAUAAAUACAUUUUAAUACU